AUAAAAUUACUUAACGUUUAAUUACGUUUAAAUGUUAAAUUUUGUAGGUUUUUGAAGUUAUGUUUUUAGUUAAUGGUGAUAAGAUUUAUUUUACCGUGAAGUUCAAUGUUUAGUGAUGAUGUGAGAGUAUUAUUUAAAUGAUAAGUCAAUCUUUGAUUGGGAUUUGAAGUAUUUUUAAAAUAAGUAUAAAAGGAAUUCAUUGUAAUAGUCAUACCAAACAUAAAAGAAUGAAUCAAUUACCAAGAUUACAGAUAUGAAUGAGAUAAUAAAAAAAGAAUUUUCCAAGGAUUUAGAUUGGCAAGUUUUUUGCAAGAUAAGUUUGUGUGUAUCUAAAAUGUAAUUGUGAUAAAGUUUUUAGUGUUUGAGUUUAGUGUUUUGAUUUUGAGGAUACGAAAAUGUUAUAGAAAGCUACAAUGAAAUUUAGAAGAAAUUUAGUCAACAAGUUUAUUGAGACAAAUAACAGAUCAAGAUACCACAAUUUUUCCUCAACAAGUUGUCUAAAUUCACAAGGCCUAUGAAAAUAAAAUAAACUAUCAAAUGCAACUUCUAGGAUUCUAUUACUGGAUUCCAAGUACGGCUUAACCAAAUAUUGCUAUAAGCAUUUGAAACAGAUCUGAACGGAAUAAAACAACUAAGAAUUACAGAAAGUAAAAUUAGAAGACAAAUUUAACCUAGGAAGUAAUUAAUUACAAAUAAAAAAUCCCCAAUUACAAUAGAAAAUCAAAUCUAAAAUAAAGUAAAAUACUCGUUAAAGGUUUUAUAAUCUUCGAAAGAAAAUUUGACGAGCAAAUUUAAAUACCAUACAAAAUCGACGCUUAACAUCAAAGAUAUUAAUUUUUUAAUUUCGUAUGAAAUAUUACAAUUAUUAACAAGAGAAAAUUUUUAACUUUGAAGUCGCGCAAUGAAAGCUUGAAGAGUAAUUGAUAUUACGAAGGUUUAAAAACAAACUUUAAUUAGUAGGUUUAAAGAUAAGAUUAUUAAGUAUUCUUAAACAGAAAAAAUCCUACUAUUUAAGUACACAAAAUUAUACAAGACAUGACAGUCACAAGAUAAUCGGUAAAAAAUACAAACAAUACGACAUUGAGGUCAUACAAAAUUUAUUUCUAUAAAACUAAGUAACUUACACAUUCCCGAUUGCCAAAUAAAUUUUAAUCACCGCAAUAUCCAUUUGUAAUACAAAAGCUUAAUGCAUUGUUUUUAAUGUAUGUAAUAUUAUAUGUAGCUUUUUUAUUUUCAGAUAAAAUUUGGUAUCACCGAUAUAUUGAUUGAUACGUUGCAAAAAAUUACUUUUAAACAUAUCAUGAUAUGAUAAAACGAGGGCAUCAGUUCUAUUUGGUUAAUUUCUGCGUAAUAAUUGUAACCAGUAAAUAUUUAAUAUACAUAUAGGACAGCAUUGGCUUGAUUUUAUUAAUUUCACUAAACUAAAAUCGGUACAGCAUGGUCUAGAUUGUAUAACACGAAGGAUAGUCGACCACUUCAUAGCUGAUUGCACUUAAUUGCACUUGGAUGCCCCUUGGUUGAUGAGUAAGAAAUUGGAUAAUCUUUCAUGUUAUAAGACAUGGGAUUACUUGCGGUGAAUUAACACGACUUUGAGUCUUGCAAAUAACAUUUGAAUGAGCAUGAUGAGGAUAGGAGGGAUUCGGUUUAGACCUAUUUACGUUUUGUUUUUGUUAAAAUGUUGCUAUGGAAGUGUGCAAAGGCUUGAAAAUUUCUAGCGCAUAUUUGCAAAUAUCUAAAUAGAUUAGACGCUUUACGGCUUUAAAUUUGUUAGGAUUCAAGACCUAAUCAUCGGUGUGUUAACGGCUGGACUAAUUCACUAGACAAAGGAAAGAAUAUUUUAUGUUAGAUCAGCUAUGAUAAUAAUACACACAUGAACAGAUAGAUGGGUUUUUACACAGAAGAAUAUUCCUUCACCUUUGCUUUUUGAAUAUCCACGAUUUUAUCAUUAUGCCAGUUUGUUUCUUCGCAUAUUAUAGUCGACAGUAAGCUCUGAAAAAAUCUACAAAGCUUGAAUCAAAUGGUUUGUCGGUGGUUCUGAUUAAAAUAAUGUUAAAAAAAACUCAAAUUGCUAACGAAUCCAAAUAAAUGUUACUAGUUGUGUAACCCGUGGCUGCUUCAGUGCGUUUGCAUCGUUCGAAUCUUCUUAACAAUAGAUCUGCUUUUAUUUGCAUUUCGGUGAUUUUGAUUUUGUAGACACGUUUUAUUUUGAUUACAAAAUGUUCUGUGAUCUUUUAUAAAAUGCACAAACAAUUCUUUGUGGCUAACUUUAUAACAUGUGAAUGAGCAUGGAGCUAGAUGGAAUUUUUCAUAUUAAAUCGAGAUUUCUUGCAGGAUUAGCUGGUGUGUGAUAGUAAACAUUUCUUGUCACUUAAUUAUUCUUAUAAGGCACAUAUACAUCGAUGUUGGUAAAAUAGACUGCAAGAUAUAUUCAUGAGUACUGCGAACAUUGUGCUUACAGUUAUUGUUCAUCUUAUAUGCUAAUCAUCGGUGUUAAUUUACGGGUGUAUUUUGAGUAGAUUAGUUAUAAUGAAGAGCAGCUUCUAACACUCAAUUAAUAGAAACGAAAUAAAAGGAAAAAGUAGGUAAAUCUAUUAAGUAAGCAUGAUAUAUGAUUCUAGUAUUAAGGACAUAUAUUUUUCCGUGUGCCUUGUUUUGUUAUAUUAUUACAGUUCGGUGAUUCUGUGGCGUUUUAGUGGGUCCGGUAAUCAAAGCAGGGUCGCGAGUAGCGGUUCUACUAUCCGCAGAGAAAUUUUUUGCUUUUAAUGUA